AACGAACGCUGGCGGCAUGCCUAACACAUGCAAGUCGAACGAGACCUUCGGGUCUAGUGGCGCACGGGUGCGUAACGCGUGGGAAUCUGCCCUUGGGUUCGGAAUAACAGCGAGAAAUUGCUGCUAAUACCGGAUGAUGACGUAAGUCCAAAGAUUUAUCGCCCAAGGAUGAGCCCGCGUAGGAUUAGCUAGUUGGUGAGGUAAAGGCUCACCAAGGCGACGAUCCUUAGCUGGUCUGAGAGGAUGAUCAGCCACACUGGGACUGAGACACGGCCCACGACUCCUACGGAGGGCAGCAGUGGGGAAUAUUGGACAAAUGGGGCGGAAAGCCUGAUCCAGCAAUGCCGCGUGAGUGAUGAAGGCCUUA
rnacentral:rRNA from 1 species